GAAAUCAUUGACAGUGCACCUGAUGAUGAUAGGACUUCAUUCCGUGAGGAAGUUGCAAGAAUGGCGAUGAAGAUGCUAGACAGUGUUUUUGGUGAUGAUAUUAGGGAGGAAAUGGGACUGCUACCUCAUUUUACUGAUCUUCCAUUCAUGGAUAAGCACAACCACCCGGUUCAAAGAAACUCGUUCGACUGUGGUGUGUUUGUAAUAAGAAACAUGCAGCAUUAUGGCACACAAUGGAAUGAGGGUUAUGUUUCAGAUGAGCA